rnacentral:sRNA from 1 species
UAGGGGCCACAUCAUAUGAAUGUCUAUGUAGAGAGCCAUACUAUGGAGCAAAUUGUCUUCAGGUUCAUACAACAACAACAUCAACUACAACAACAACUACACAAGCACCAACUACAACCACCACCACCACCACCAGCUUGCCAAGUACCACCACUGAGCUUCCAACGACCACCAGUACACUGGUCACUUCCACGUCUAUUCUAACUAGUGAGCCGGCUACAACCACGGAACCUACCACCACUAGUGUAACUACAACACCAGAUACAACUCCUAGUACAACUACAACGCCAUCUACAAC